AACCAUCGAUGCAACCAUCGAUUAUAUCGAUGGACUUUAAUUUUUAUGAUAUAUCGAUGAACUUUUGUCGAUAUCGAUAUAUCGCCGCUUUGAGUAACAAAUCAAACACAUUUGACAAGCAUAGCAUACGGACAUUGUUAAACAUUGGUAGUUCCUCUUCAACAUGGACAAGUUUGUCGUUUCAAAUCAAACCUGCAAUGCCUCCACUACAAUUGCAUCUUCAAAUGCAUUGACUGAAUCCAAUGAGCCUAGCAUGAAACGAAAAAAAAUCACAUCAGAAGUUUGGUCACAUUUUGAGAAGCUGAUGAACAUGCUUGCCAAAUGCCGUCAUUGCGGAAAAGAGUACCGCACGAGCGGCAACACUUCCAAUAUGAUGGAACACUUAAGACGUGUACAUCCCUUCGUGGUAAGAGACCACGUUGAAACAACUGCUCCAUUCUCCUCAUGACAUCGAUCCGCCACAAUUUUGGAAGAUUAACGAACACCAAUUAAAUGCACUCAGCUGUUGUGCUAUUAAAUACUUAGCUAUUCCAGCUAGCUCUGUGGAAAGUGAGCGCAUUUUUAGCAAGGCGGGUGAAUUGAUUUCUGACCGCCGGGCGUCUUUGAAAGAAAAA